UACGGAGGGUGCAAGCGUUAUCCGGAUUCACUGGGCGUAAAGGGUGCGUAGGUGGUCGGGUAAGUCGGAUGUGAAAGCUCGGAGCUCAACUCCGAAAUGGCAUUGGAAACUACCUGGCUCGAGGGAUGGAGGGGGGACUGGAAUUCUCGGUGUAGCAGUGAAAUGCGUUGAUAUCGUUCGGAACACCAAUAGCGUAGGCAGGCUUCUGGGUGCCACCUGACACU
rnacentral:rRNA from 1 species